AACCUAGCGCAGAGGUAAUAUCAAUAACCAAUGAAGGCCUCCUGAGGUGCGAUUAUUGGCUAGUUGAAAACUUUUACUAAUGAGGGUUAACUUGUUAUGAAAAGGAAGGAAUGGGCAAGAGUUUUGUAAAGAUGGCCGCA
rnacentral:snRNA from 1 species